rnacentral:rRNA from 1 species
UGGGCUUGACAUGUCCGGAAUCCUGCAGAGAUGCGGGAGUGCCCUUUGGGGAAUCGGAACAC